UACGUAGGGUGCAAGCGUUAAUCGGAAUUACUGGGCGUAAAGCGUGCGCAGGCGGUUUUGUAAGUCUGUCGUGAAAUCCCCGGGCUCAACCUGGGAAUGGCGAUGGAGACUGCAAGGCUAGAGUUUGGCAGAGGGGGGUAGAAUUCCACGUGUAGCAGUGGAAAUGCGUAGAUAUGUGGAGGAACACCGAUGGCGAAGGCAGCCCCCUGGGUCAAAACUGACGCUCAUGCACGAAAGCGUGGGGAGCAAA
rnacentral:rRNA from 1 species